AUUGAACGCUGGCGGCAUGCCUUACACAUGCAAGUCGAACGGCAGCACGGGAGCUUGCUCCUGGUGGCGAGUGGCGAACGGGUGAGUAAUACACCGGAACGUACCCUGAAGUGGGGGAUAACGUAGCGAAAGUUACGCUAAUACCGCAUAUUCUGUGAGCAGGAAAGAGGGGGAUCGCAAGACCUCUUGCUUUAGGAGCGGCCGAUGUCGGAUUAGCUAGUUGGUGAGGUAAAGGCUCACCAAGGCGACGAUCCGUAGCGGGUCUGAGAGGAUGAUCCGCCACACUGGGACUGAGACACGGCCCAGACUCCUACGGGAGGCAGCAGUGGGGAAUUUUGGACAAUGGGCGCAAGCCUGAUCCAGCCAUGCCGCGUGAGUGAAGAAGGCCUCGGU
rnacentral:rRNA from 1 species